rnacentral:rRNA from 1 species
UGGGGCUCCUUGCGCCUGGGCGAUAUCUGACGCACGACGCCGCGUGAUGGUUACGGCCCUCGGGAUCUAACCUCUUUCGAUCCGACGAUGCGGGUAUGGUAGGAGCAGAUGAAGCCCGGCCAUCUACGUGCCAGCAGCCGCGGUAAUACGUUGGUGCAUGCGUUGUCCGGAUUUACAGGCGUAAAGAGCUCGUAUGCGGUCUGUCGCGUCGGCUGUGAUAUUUCGGGGCUCAUCUCCGAGCUUGCAGUCGCUACGGGCAGGCUAGAGUCUCGGCAGGGGAGAUUGGACUCCUGGUGUAGCGGUGAUACUGCGCAUAUAUCAGGAGGAUCACCGGUGGCGAAGCGGGUCUCUGGGCCGAUACUGACGCUUGAGGAGCGAAAGCGUGGGGAGCAAACAGGAUAUAUACCCUGGUAUUCCACGCUUUUAAACCUUGGGCGCUUAGGUGUGGGAUCCUUUCCACGGGUUUCCUUGCCGCACUUAACGCAUUAAGCGCCCCGCCUGGGGAGUUACGGCCGCAAGGCUAAAACUCAAAGAACUGACGGAAUCACUAUUGAUCU